AUGGAUACCGUGGAAGUCUUGCAAGUGGAUCGCAAAGAUGCACAUAUCAAUCUGGAAUUCGGGCUUAAAGCCAGAAUUGCAGGAAUGCAACACGUGUUGCAGAGGACUCUUUCACUGCCCUCUGUGCCCCACUUUCAGCCCUACUCUCAGGGCAAAGAUUGAGGAGCAUCUAAGUGUGCAUAUAAAAAAUGCUUUGCAUUUCAAAGAUUAAAUGAUAUGCCGGUGCAGGCUGCCUUGUAGGACAACAGGACACUUUCACUGGCCUGUCUGUAAGAUUACAAUCAUACAGUGUGGGGAUAUGGCAAGGCAUUUAUUGUCUUGUCAGCAUUCUUCAAUGCCAAGUCAGCCACCAUUAUCAGGACUGCUCCCCGCUGAACUCUCCGAGGAGACCCGUCUCC
ensembl:lncRNA